rnacentral:rRNA from 1 species
GACGAACGCUGGCGGCGUGCUUAACACAUGCAAGUCGAACGAAGAGCGAUGGAUGCUUGCUUCUCUCAAUCUUAGUGGCGAACGGGUGAGUAACGCGUAAUCAACCUGCCCUUCAGAGGGGGACAACAGUUGGAAACGACUGCUAAUACCGCAUACGAUCUAAUCUCGGCAUCGAGGAUAGAUGAAAGGUGGCCUCUACAUGUAAUCUAUCACUGAAGGAGGGGAUUGCGUCUGAUUAGCUAGUUGGAGGGGUAACGGCCCACCAAGGCGAUGAUCAGUAGCCGGUCUGAGAGGAUGAACGGCCACAUUGGGACUGAGACACGGCCCAGACUCCUACGGGAGGCAGCAGUGGGGAAUCUUCCGCAAUGGACGAAAGUCUGACGGAGCAACGCCGCGUGAGUGAUGACGGCCUUCGGGUUGUAAAGCUCUGUUAAUCGGAACGAAAGGCCUUCUUGCGAAUAGUGAGAAGGAUUGACGGUACCGGAAUAGAAAGCCACGGCUAACUACGUG